CCGACCUUAGCUCAGUUGGCAGAGCGGAGGACUGUAGUGGUCACUGUAAUCCUUAGGUCGCUGGUUCGAAUCCGGCAGGUCGGA
rnacentral:tRNA from 1 species